AAACUUGCUAAGAUUAUCUUUUCAUAGCUCUUGAUUUCUAAAGAAGUAUGAGCUUAUGUUACCGUGUUUGAUCUAUCUUAAUUUUUUUAAACAAUAUUAUGUUUGUCUUUUAGGUAGCCAUGGAUAGUCCAGAUCCAAAGGUUUCAGAAGAUAUUGUACAAUCAGAAAAAUCCAGUAAGUCUACAAAUGAUCCUGAAUGGUUACAACAAAGCAUGGGAUGGUACAGAGAUGCGGGAGAACUUAUUUGUGGAUUUCCUAGCGCACGAAAGAAAUGGAUAUCGAAGAUUUCUUUCUGCCGAUAUUAAACAUUAUCUUGGUCGUAUCACGAAAAGGUCUAUAAAAUAGAAUUUGUGAGCCUAUAACAUCGUGCUCUCCGUGACUAUAUUUAAUUUCACAAACUUUGCUUCUUUAAGAUAAAUGUCACUUUAUAGUUGGUAUUUAAGUUCUAUUAUAAUAAUAUUAUUUUAUUGUGCGAUCAA